GACGGAGGAUGCAAGCGUUAUCCGGAAUGAUUGGGCGUAAAGCGUCCGCAGGUGGCAGUUCAAGUCUGCUGUCAAAGACCGGGGCUUAACUUCGGAAAGGCAGUGGAAACUGAACAGCUAGAGUAUGGUAGGGGCAGAGGGAAUUCCUGGUGUAGCGGUGAAAUGCGUAGAGAUCAGGAAGAACAUCGGUGGCGAAGGCGGUCUCCUGGGCCGAGGGCCGACGCUGAGGCGCGAGAGCGUGGGGAGCGAACCGG
rnacentral:rRNA from 1 species